GUGAGGUAAGGGCUCACCAAGGCGACGAUCCCUAGCUGGUCUGAGAGGAUGAUCAGCCACACUGGAAUUGAGACACGGUCCAGACUCCUACGGGAGGCAGCAGUGGGGAAUAUUGCACAAUGGGCGCAAGCCUGAUGCAGCCAUGCCGCGUGUGUGAAGAAGGCCUUCGGGUUGUAAAGCACUUUCAGUCGUGAGGAAGGUAGUGUAGUUAAUAGCUGCAUUAUUUGACGUUAGCGACAGAAGAAGCACCGGCUAACUCCGUGCCAGCAGCCGCGGUAAUACGGAGGGUGCGAGCGUUAAUCGGAAUUACUGGGCGUAAAGCGCAUGCAGGUGGUUUGUUAAGUCAGAUGUGAAAGCCCGGGGCUCAACCUCGGAAUUGCAUUUGAAACUGGCAGACUAGAGUACUGUAGAGGGGGGUAGAAUUUCAGGUGUAGCGGUGAAAUGCGUAGAGAUCUGAAGGAAUACCGGUGGCGAAGGCGGCCCCCUGGACAGAUACUGACACUCAGAUGCGAAAGCGUGGGGAGCAAACAGGAUUAGAUACCCUGGUAGUCCACGCCGUAAACGAUGUCUACUUGGAGGUUGUGGCCUUGAGCCGUGGCUUUCGGAGCUAACGCGUUAAGUAGACCGCCUGGGGAGUACGGUCGCAAGAUUAAAACUCAA
rnacentral:rRNA from 1 species